UCCAUCUCUGUUUUGUCUUUCAAUGAUAUCUAUCUAUCUAUCUAUCUAUCUAUCUAUCUAUCUAUCUAUCCACCUGUCUGUCUGUCUGUAUUGAUCUAGGGAAGAGGAAGAGCUUGGGAUCUGCCUUUGUUUGCUCCCAUAUAAAAAUGGGAACUGUGGUUUUCUGGAUUCUUCUUUCAGUGCUUUUCUGCAUUUAGAUUUGUGCACAACGAGCAUCUGGCACUUGUACACUUUUUACAAGCUCUUAGACCCCCCAGCUCCUGGGUGCAGGGCUGUCAGGCACCUCGGCAGGACUGAGAGUGGGAACACAGUCAUCCUCCCGGUGCAGCCAUGAGGGCAGCCAUGGCCACUUAACCCCUGGGGCUUUUUGUGUCCACUGAUGAGGGCAGAUGCCACUCCUUGGCAAGCAGCUCACCCAGCUCAUGCUCUCUCCGUACACAGGCUUAGGGUCCUGGGUCAGAAAGUAGCCUCUCAGUUCCCCCUCCUCCCUGCCAGAGAUGGUUGAAGGUGGGGAGGAAUGGGGUCUUUUGGGGAGAGCUUGUGGAAUGAGAAGAGGAUGAAGCUGACAUGGUCAGGGACUUGCCAUGUGGCAGGGGGAGGAAGGAGGAGUAAUGGGGGGCAGGUGGAGAGGGGAUAAAGGAAGAGGAUGCCUCCUGCAGCCACGCUGGGAGCUGACCCUCUCCACCCAUGCUUCGUGCACUCAGGCGCUCAUCCAGGGAUCAUCCUGUACCUCAGACUCCGCCAAGAACUGUCCAGCCCCAGGGCCUUUGCAAGCGCUGGUUGCACUGCCUGGGAUGCCCUCUCCCAGCUCACCACAUGGCUGGCUCUUUCCCAUUCAUUGGCCUCAGCCCAGUGGCCUCCUUCUCGUCAGAGAGGCCGCCCCUGCCUGCCCUGGCUGGCCGGCUCCUCCCCUACAAUGACUCUAUGACAUCAUCAUGUCCCUUCUCCUCGGAGUCCUCAGACCCUCCGAAAUCCUCUGGUCUGUGUUUUGUUUCCUCUGUCUCUAUCUCUCUCCCCACUAGAAGGCAGGCCCCAGGAGGGCAAGGACCCGGCCUGUCCAGCUCCCAGCCAUAGCCCCAGGGCGGGACUGCAGUAGAUGCUCAACAAGGCUUCUUUCCUCCCACCAGCCUCUCCUUCCCGCAGGGGCGACAGGACUUGGGGGUGUUGUUGGGGUCUAAACGACCCAAAGGAAAGAGACGCUGAAGUGGGUGAGCUGGCCUCGCACUGCACUUCCUGCUGGAGUUCAAAGUCAGCCCUGCCCCUGGAACUGCCAUGGCCAGUUUAGAUUGUUCCAGAAUCCCGCUGCAGGCUGUUCAAAAGGCUCCCAGCUGCUAUCAGGAAAUAGCUCAGGAAGGUCUCCGUUAAACACUAAGAAACUGAGAUGCAAUCAGCUGGCCUGGAAUUCAGGAAAGUGCUGGUUCUGAAAUUGAGGACAGAAAGGACAUGUCUCGGGGCGAGAAGAUGUGAACCUGCCAACCAGCCUGUGUUCUUCUUCCACCUGUCCUGCCACGUGUUCUGCCACGUCCAUGCCUCCUGUCCCGCCAACACCCCAGGAGUUGGCAGAUUGGGACCCUACUCCGUGGGGAAGGGAACGCUCAGUGACUGCUGCCCCCUGCUCGCUGGCGUCCACCCGUAAUCUCUCAGUUGUGGUCUCAAAGGCCAAACAUGAACCAGGAUUUUCCAUUAUGGUUGCAAUUUUGGCUUGUAAUUUUAUCACUCGAAUCUAAAUCCACUUCAGAAAUGCCAUAAACUAAUUGUCACUGAAUAAACUGAAACUUUUGAGGAGUUUAUAAAAGUGAUUUAGUGGGAGAAAAAAAGGAAAAUAGAAAACAAAUGUUGCCCACAGAAUUGUUGGCAAAAAGGUAAAAACUCUCUGUUUCUUUUGAAAGCAUUCCCUCGUCUGGGAGCAAUCCCUGCCCAUCGUGGCUUUGGGGCCCAGUCCCUGAGAUUGUGUUUGUCUUGGAGCUGGUGGGCUUGAUUUCACGUUUGUCCCUGGGAAGCUGAUUGAGGCAGCGUCGGCAGUGAGGGCAGGGGUAGGUUGCGUAGAAAGUAAAUGGCCGCAGAUCAGAUCCAAUCCUUAUCCCACAGAAUGAACCUUGUUUCCUUGAUUAAAAAUAAUAAUAAUAACAAAAUGAAUGUUGGGGUUAAGUAAAUGUGAGUUAAUUACUAAGUUGUGACCACGUUCACAGUUUCUGAGGCUAAACACUUCAACGCUCCUUGUCAGUUUAUGUUAGGCAAUAAUUUGAAUGACUACUGGUUAGCUGUUUCACUUCAUUCAUAUUAAGAAACAAUAUACAAAGGGUAUAAAGUGAUCAGCUCUGUUUACGCUGAGGAGGAGGGUUAUAAAAUCAGCUAACAGGGAGCAGGGCAGAGGGGAGAGUGCUCAGGGUUUUUGAUGUGCUUCUGAUGAUCGUUUACGAAGGAAAAUCUUUGGAGAAACUUUUAAAUGUAGACACUCUGGGAACAGUGAAAUGAUGCAAAGCCCUCAACGGCAUUUUCAGCAUGGACCAGGGAGAGAGGAGAGAGUUUCCCUGGAACACACAGCUUGUCGAUAAGAAAGAGCCUACAAAAUACUCCAGGUCAAAAGGAGCGAGAUCCAGGAUCAGUUGAACUCCUGCAAGACCUGCCAGUGCCGAAUUACAGCAAUCUUGGUGCCUGCUGAGGUGGGAGUCAGGGAGGCUGUGGAAUUCUGAGCUUCCUGGUUGGCUGAGGAGAGAGGGCUCAGGGGAGAGGUCUUCCUCCCACCACUGCCUUAGAGAAACCCCAAAACCUCAUAGCUUCGAACCCCAGAAUUCUCUGGUCUUCUGCAAAAAUGCAGACAUGCUGGUGUCAGGAAUCAGCCUGGAGUCCCAGGAGCAGCAUCUCACAUCUUUACGGCAACACAAAACAAAGCAACACAAAAACAACAAAUGCAAAGAUAUCUUCUUGAGGAGAGGCCUCAACUGAAUGAGCAGGGAGGGGCGUGUUCCUUAAACCAGUGGUUCUCAAAAGGUGGUAUCUGGACCAGCAGCAGCAGCAGUGCCACCUGGGUGCAGACCAGAGGAUUCCAGAGCCCUGAGGGCUCCUAGAAGGAACACAGUGACAUCACAGAGUCAUUGUGGGGGAGGGGUUGGGCCAGCCAGGGCAGGCAGGGACAGCCCCUCUGAUGAGGAGGCCACUGGGCUGAGACCAAUGAAUGAGAUGGAGCCAGCCACGUGGUGAGCCAGAAGAGGGCAUCACAGGUCCAUGAAAUGGGCUCCCGAAGUCCAACCUCACAGACCCCAUAGGAAAGCAGAUGGAAUCUCCAAGGGCACCAGCUAUACAUGGUGGUGGAAGGACCAACGCAUGCUCUGAAUGCCACUGCGGACCACAGGCCAGUGCCCUCCAUGAGCCUGACCUCAGGCCUCAGGCUUGAGUCUGGGGGAGCCUGGCUGCCCAGAGGUGGCAGAUGACAUGAAGAAAUAACCAUGUAAGGGCUGGCUGUGUAUGAGAGCAAGCAUUGGGAAGGAUGAAUGCCAACUAUGUUCCAGGAACUUCCACUGUUCUCACACACCCAGGUGAGUGGUGUUCAGGUGGGUGGCACCCAGGUGAGUGACAUCCCAGUUGAGUGGCACCCAGGUGAGUAGCAUCCAGGUGAGUGACACCUAGGUGAGUGACAUUCAGGUUAGUGGCGUCUGUGUGAGUGGCAUCAUCCAGGUGAGUAGCUUCCAGGUGAGUGGCACCCAGGUGAGUGGCAUUCGGGUGAGUGGCAUUAUCCAGGUGACACCUGGGUGAGUGGCAUCCAGGUGAGUGAUAUCAUCCAGGUAAGUGGCACCUAGGUGACAUCCAGGUGAGUGACGACAUCCAGGUGAGUGACAUCAUCCAGGUAAAUGGCACCCAGGUGAGUAGCAUUCAGGUGAGUGACACCCAGGCGAGUGGCAUCCACGUGACUAGCAUUGUCCAGGUGCAUAACACCCAGGUGAGUGGCACCCAGUUGAGUGGUGCCCAAGUGAGUCACAUCCAGGUAAGUGGGGUCCAGGUGGUGGCACCCAGGCGAGUGGUGCCCAGGUGAGUGACAGCCAGGUGAAUGGUGUCCAGGUGAGUGGCAUCACCCAGGUGAAUGGUGUCCAGGUGAGUGGCAUCCAGGUAAGUGGUGUCCAGGUGGUGGCACCCAGGUGAGUGGUGUCCAGGUGAGGGGCAUCACCCAGGUGAAUGGUGUCCAGGUGAGUGGCAUCCAGGUGGGUGGUACCGUCGACGUGACAAUAGCUAAAAAUUAUUGGGCUCAUUGUGGACAGGCACUGUGCCGAGCUUGACAUCACUGAACUCAGUUCAUCCUCGCCAGGAGCUUGUGGGCCGUCCCUAGAUCAGAAUCCGAGGAGAAAGGACUUCCACACGGCAGCCAGCGAGCUGGAGGGCGGCCUCCUGCCACCACCAGGCUCCCUAACCCAGUCCUGGAUAUCUGUGAAAGAAUGAGUGGAUCCCCACAGGCCAGCCCUGACUUCCCACAGCUAUCCCCAAACACACUCGUUUACACUGAAGCACCAGGAGAUCAGAACCUUCUGGAAUCUUAAUAUGCGAGGACUCGGUGGAGAAGGCGGCACUGAAGAAGAGUCGUCCCUAGGCCAGGCUGGAGGGAAACUCAAGACGGCGGCCUGGCCCUCCUGGGUGGCGGAAGUGGGAGCAGCAGGAGCCCUGGCGGAUCCGGGAGGCCAGAAGAGCGGAAGCUUCCUCCCCUCUCAGGACAGCCACAAGGACUUUCGGGGGUCGUGGCAGCUGCUCCACUUCCAACUUCCAGAUCCCUCUCACUUUCCUCUUCCCACCAACUCCAACCUGGGACCAAGCAGGGGAAAGCAGCUGCAGCCCAGCUUGACGCCCCUGCAAAUGGAGACCUGUGCACCUGGUUGUGAGCAUUUUAAAGGGUGUCACACAGGGCAUACCCUUCGGUGCCUGGAUUCCUUUGAUGAAAGGGCAAAGCCUUGAACCUAAGUCAUCUUCGAGUCCUCAGCACUUCACCCAGAGCCUGGCACACAGUAGGAGCACAGAAAGGUUUACAUCCAGCAGGAGUUGGCCCUGAGCUCUGAGUCCAGAUCAUUGCUCUUGGCUGAAGCAGCCUGUCUACUCACAAAGAUGAGCAUGGUCCCUGCCACGAGGAAACUCGUGGUCCUGUGGACUGCGGUGUGGAGGGAAAGCUUGGGAUUCUGAGCCUGAUAAUGCACCAUUACAUCCCCACUCACUCGGGCUGUGUGAACCCAGCAAGUCACAGGAUCACUGGGUGGUGAAAGAAAGAAACACUCACAGAAGCGUCUGUGCUUGGAGAGCCAUCUGGUCCGUCAUUGUGACUGCUGCUCUCAUUGCUAUCAUGGGUGUCACCAUUGCCAUCACUCAAGGACUUCUCUCCAGGCCCCGAAGCCAAGCUGGUGCCUGGUUCCUCUGGGUUGGGAGAGGGGCUGGGCAUGGACAGGAGGAGGGAAAAGGGACCUGUGCUAGCAGGUGAUGCCAUCCAAGACAUCUGCAUCCUAAUCCCUGGAACCUGGGAUUCCACUAGGUGCCAUGGCAAAGAGGGAUUAAGGUGGCAGGUGGAGUGAAGGUUGCUAAUCAGCCGACCUUAAAGUAGGGAGAUGAUCCUGAAUGAGACAAAAGAGAGAACCAGUCAUGGUGUCAUGAGAAGGACUCAAAAUGCAACUGCUGACUUUGAAGAUUAAGGGGCUACAAACCAAGGAACGUGGUAGUCUCUGGAAAAGACAAGGAAUAGACGCUGCGUUGGGGCCACCAGAAGGAACCAGCCCUGUCAACACCCUAAUUUUAGCCCAGUGAGGCCUGUGCUGGACUUCUGACCUCCAGAACUGUAAACUAAUAAAUGUGUGUUGUUUCUGCCACUA
rnacentral:lncRNA from 1 species